UGUACUUUAUGAAUAAGGAUCGGCUAACUCCGUGCCAGCAGCCGCGGUAAUACGGAGGAUCCGAGCGUUAUCCGGAUUUAUUGGGUUUAAAGGGAGCGUAGAUGGAUGUUUAAGUCAGUUGUGAAAGUUUGCGGCUCAACCGUAAAAUUGCAGUUGAUACUGGAUGUCUUGAGUGCAGUUGAGGCAGGCGGAAUUCGUGGUGUAGCGGUGAAAUGCUUAGAUAUCACGAAGAACUCCGAUUGCGAAGGCAGCCUGCUAAGCUGCAACUGACAUUGAGGCUCGAAAGUGUGGGUAUCAAACAGGAUUAGAUACCCUGGUAGUCCACACGGUAAACGAUGAAUACUCGCUGUUUGCGAUAUACGGCAAGCGGCCAAGCGAAAGCGUUAAGUAUUCCACCUGGGGA
rnacentral:rRNA from 1 species